rnacentral:rRNA from 1 species
AUUGAACGCUGGCGGCAGGCCUAACGCAUGCAAGUCGAGCGACAGCGGGAAAGUAGCUUGCUACUUUUGCCGGCGAGCGGCGGACGGGUGAGUAAUGCCUGGGAAAUUGCCCAGUCGAGGGGGAUAACAGUUGGAAACGACUGCUAAUACCGCAUACGCGCUACGGGGGAAAGCAGGGGACCUUCGGGCCUCGCGCGCUUGGAUAUGCCCAGGUGGGAUUAGCUAGUUGGUGAGGUAAUGGCUCACCAAGGCGACGAUCCCUAGCUGGUCUGAGAGGAUGAGCAGCCACACUGGAACUGGGACACGGUCCAGACUCCUACGGGAGGCAGCAGUGGGGAAUAUUGCACAAUGGGGGAAACCCUGAUGCAGCCAUGCCGCGUGUGUGAAGAAGGCCUUCGGGUUGUAAAGCACUUUCAGCGAGGAGGAAAGGUUGAUGCCUAAUACGUAUCAACUGUGACGUUACUCGCAGAAGAAGCACCGGCUAACUCCGUGCCAGCCGCCGCCGUAACAC